rnacentral:rRNA from 1 species
AGGACGAACGCUGGCGGCGUGCUUAACACAUGCAAGUCGAGCGGUAAGGCUCCUUCGGGAGUACACGAGCGGCGAACGGGUGAGUAACACGUGAGCAAUCUGCCCUUCACAUUGGAAUAACUUCGGGAAACCGAAGCUAAUACCGAAUACGACCACCGAUGGCAUCAUCUGGUGGUGGAAAGUUCCGGCGGUGAAGGAUGAGCUCGCGGCCUAUCAGCUUGUUGGUGGGGUCAUGGCCCACCAAGGCGACGACGGGUAGCCGGCCUGAGAGGGUGACCGGCCACACUGGGACUGAGACACGGCCCAGACUCCUACGGGAGGCAGCAGUGGGGGAAUAUUGGACAAUGGGCGAAAGCCUGAUCCAGCAACGCCGCGUGAGGAUGACGGCUUCGGUGUAAACCUCUUCACCCACGGCGAAGCGAAGUGACGGUAGUGGAGAAGAAGCGACCGGCCAACUACGUGCCAGCAGCCGC